GGCGGAACUGAGCGAUAACACGCUGGCUUUGUACGCGCCAAACCGUUUCGUGCUCGAUUGGGUAAGGGAUAAAUACCUUAAUAACAUCAAUGGACUGCUGAACGAUUUCUGCGGGUCAGAUGCCCCACAGCUGCGUUUUGAAGUGGGCACAAAGCCGGUCACCCAAACCGUUCGUGAAGUUGUCAAUGUGGCAGCCCCUGCACAGGCGGCGCCCGCUCCAGCGCCUCGCGUUGCACCGGCUCGUCAGGGCUGGGAUAACGUUCCAGCCCCCGCUGAGCCUACCUACCGCUCUAAUGUUAACGUGAAACACACGUUCGAUAACUUCGUUGAAGGUAAGUCGAACCAGCUGGCGCGCGCGGCGGCCCGCCAGGUUGCCGAUAAUCCCGGUGGUGCUUACAACCCGCUGUUCCUUUAUGGCGGCACGGGUCUCGGUAAAACGCACCUGCUGCAUGCGGUGGGCAACGGCAUUAUGGCGCGUAAGCCCAAUGCCAAAGUAGUGUAUAUGCACUCCGAACGCUUCGUUCAGGACAUGGUAAAAGCCCUGCAAAACAAUGCGAUCGAAGAGUUUAAACGUUACUACCGUUCCGUUGAUGCGCUGCUGAUCGAUGACAUCCAGUUCUUUGCCAAUAAAGAACGAUCGCAGGAAGAGUUUUUCCACACCUUUAACGCCCUGCUGGAAGGCAAUCAGCAGAUCAUUUUGACCUCGGAUCGUUAUCCAAAAGAGAUCAACGGCGUUGAAGAUCGUCUCAAAUCCCGCUUCGGCUGGGGCCUGACCGUGGCGAUCGAGCCGCCGGAGCUGGAAACCCGCGUCGCGAUCCUGAUGAAAAAAGCCGACGAGAACGACAUUCGCCUGCCGGGUGAAGUGGCGUUCUUUAUUGCCAAGCGCCUGCGUUCCAACGUUCGUGAGCUGGAAGGGGCACUGAACCGCGUUAUCGCCAACGCCAAUUUUACCGGUCGUGCGAUCACCAUCGAUUUUGUGCGUGAAGCGCUGCGCGAUUUGUUGGCAUUGCAGGAAAAACUGGUCACCAUCGACAAUAUUCAGAAGACGGUGGCUGAGUACUACAAGAUCAAAGUGGCAGAUUUACUGUCUAAACGUCGUUCCCGCUCGGUGGCGCGUCCGCGUCAGAUGGCGAUGGCGCUGGCAAAAGAGCUCACCAAUCACAGCCUGCCGGAAAUCGGUGAUGCGUUUGGUGGACGUGACCAUACGACCGUGCUGCACGCCUGUCGCAAGAUUGAGCAGUUACGCGAAGAAAGCCACGACAUAAAAGAAGAUUUUU
rnacentral:rRNA from 1 species